rnacentral:rRNA from 1 species
GACGUGGGUCCGGGUCCGGAGUCCGUCUCAGACGAUCUUGAGGACGAACUGAAAAGUACCGGCUAAGGCCACUGUGUCAGGUUGGUUUGUGCGUGGUUGUGCUGCCGCUGGGCUCGUCUCGGCAUCGCGGGGCGGAGUAGGGUGGGAGGAAGGAGUGGGGAAAGAACGAACUAGGUGGAGCGGAGAAGUAGGAGGCGGGUUCAAAAGUUGGUGCGUAGGAACCAGGAACUUAGCCAAGAGGCGCGGGCUAAAGAGGCGUGGGCCACCGACGCACGAAGAUUUACCCCUGGGCCGCCACCCAGCGCCGCCGCCGCCGCCAGUACCACCGCGAGAACGACGACAGGCGUCGGAGAGUGCCUCCUGCCUCUCCUGGGUCAAAGUUGUCGUUGUUGGCCUGAAAACAAAAAUUAAUAUGGGACCGCUUCUGAUAGCACCUUAUACGAAGUCGACACAUAUACUGCCUGGAUUGUCGAGAUAUAUGUACCUGCACGAGUUCUACAUUACUGAACUGAUUUCCAAAACUCUAAUCCACAUAUUAACAGCUAUAGGUCUUGACGAACGUCCGUAAGUAACCACAACUAGUAUUAGAGUUACGACAUUAGCAGCGUUAGUCCCCUUGAGUUCUCUUGUCACAUGUCUUGACCUAAUUCCUGGACCAUACCUUCGUCCAACUGGAUUUGAUAGGUUUGUACGGGCUACGCUUCCAGGUGUGACCUAAAAUGAGACGAAUGUUAUUAUGUGAAAAUGCAGGUCGGUAGUGUUUACGACAAGCGUUCCGUUCCUCUAACAUACCGCUAUAAUCGCACUAUCAAUGUCCCGUAAGCUACCCUCCUCGAUACCGAAGAAAGACACGUGAACUAGAGCGACAUACCCUCGUACUGCAACUACCGUUGUGUUGGAAGGCUCAAACGCUGCCGUCGCCUCUUCUAGGUCUAACAACGUCCUCACACAAACGCAACAAGGAGUCACGGAGUCUGGUAGACUGCAUGUACCCACAACUCUAUCGUCGUCUACUGACCUCGUGGACGUCUUAGCAGUACCGGGUCUCGCAGCUCGCCGAGGUUAACAUAGAACGCUCAUUACACUAGUGCAGCUUCUAGGGACAGCUAUAUUAGUAACGCCUAGUAUCGCACGUCUGACUAGGCUCGUCAAGGUCGAUCUGUAAUAAGUAUGUUCGACUACAUACACAUAUAUAUCACAACAGUCGUAAACUUACCGAAGUCCGUAGGUCGGUUACCCUACCAAAAACGGUGCUGUCUAUACACUAAGAAAGUAGACAUCGAACAUUUACAUCUCUCUACACAUCUUCGUCUUGUAGCUUCACACCACUAUUCAAAGAGUCUUAGAAACCCAAGUCACCAUUAUGUACUGAUCCCAAAAAG